GAUGGAACGGCGUGUGCGUUCAUGUUGCCUCAUUUCCUGAGUCUGCCCAAAGACAGGGAGAUACGGGGGGACAGUGCGAGGGAGAGAGCGCCCUGGAGAAAGAGAGCGAAAGAGAGAGGGGAGAGAGAGACAGACAGACACAGAGGGGGAGGCUGGUUCCUGAUACCAAAACACGGAAAAGCAGGGGAGUGAAAGAGAGAGAAAAAAGGCUGGCUGAGACAGGGAGAGAGGGGGAGAAAACAGGGGAAUAACACUCAAAGAGACACAAAAAGCGUAGGUGAUGAAAGAAGAUAAUACUAUGUUCUUCUGAACAUUCCCCUUUCUUUAUCUCUCACGCUGUCACAUCGGAUUGGACUCCAAAGAAUCGACACCGCGUCUAUCCCAGACCCCAUGGGUUAACAGGUAUGUCUGCCAUGCUCUUUCAUUGCUUUUCCUUCAUCAGCCCUUCCGUUUCUAUUCAAUUGCCUAGUGUCAAUGUAUGUAUUUUAAAAGCUGCUGAUUUUAUACGGAGACGCUGUCACAAGGUUCAGGCUAUGUGCUUCAUUUUACAACAAUGUCAUUUUCAUAAUAGUUUUACGUUCAGAUAGAGAGCGUGCUUGCCACACGUUAUAACCAUUGAACAAUGUAACUCUUCUGAAUGCAUGUGACAAGUUGAAGCGGUGUAUAUUGGUUUUACGGUUAAUAACGGGUGGUUGUCGGUGUGUUGGUAUCAUGUCACGGACCGCACAAGUGUAUUUUGACAGUUCUUCGGUGCGAUGCAUUUAAGCAUCAUGCUAAAAGUAGUCCGCCUACCUGUUUCAUGUUGCCGAGUUAACUGACAAGCCAGAUGUCUACUUGCGUGUAUGUUUCUUGUUUUUGUUAUUAUGAGAUGCAGUCAUUUGCUAAUGUAGGAUAAUUGUGCACUUGCAUGAGAUUGGGAUAACACGAUAUAGGCUAAAGGCACAUGUAUUUGCAGAAUAAAACGCUGUCACCAUAGGCUAUUUGUUUCCGCUGUUAAGGAACCCCUCUUUCCCUAACUGCAUUUGUUAACCCGCGAAUGUUGAGUUAACUGUCAACGUUUUGACCCCAAUAUUCUAGGUCUUUGCGGGAUUGUCACGGCAGUGAGCUGUCACUGAUCGUGAUGCCUUGGCUGUAUAUCGUUCUAUGCGGUCUGUCGGGGCAUUUAAAGGCUCAAUGCAACCAUUUUUAUCGCAAUAUCAAAUCAUUUCUGGGUAACAAUUCAGUAACCUACUUUUAUUUUAUAUUUAUUUAUUUAAAAAAUCUAUAAAAAAUAAGCUUCUUAGCUUAGAGCUAUUUCUCAAGCACUAAUUUUGCUAGGACUGUCUGGAAGUAGUCUGAUUGAGGGCCCUAAUUGAGGUUAAUGGGAGGGAUAUGUAACCUGAACAUUAGCUGUUAUUGGCAGAGGUUUGAAACACUCUUUGUUAUUGGUCUAUUAACAUUUACUGCUUGGUGAUGAUGCCAGGCAGGCCAAAACUCCAUCCCACCAAAACAGGCUGACAUGUCAGUUGGUCUUUUCAAACAGGCUUAAACUAAAAGGCGUUAUCAUUCUUUUUUAUAAGUUCACAGUAUUAUUGCAACCUCAUAGUGUGGAAAUAUAUAUAAAACUUAGCAAAUCACGUUUUUGACUGCCCUGAGCCUUUAAAAUGAAAUGCUGGCAGUUUGGCAGGCAAGGGCUUAAACCCCCCACCCCUUCUCCUUCCCUCAGUUAACCUCUGAAAGGGGGAUUUCUCCAGCUGGAAAUUUCUGCUGCGUCAACACCCAACCCCAGAGUAGGCUACCAGACAAGAGGGAGAGUUCAGGUUUCAGACUCAAUGGUUUUUGGGCAAUGUUGUAGCGAUAUGUAAUAUUAAUCUGAUCCGUCCGCAGGCGCUUCUUGAGUUGAGUUGAAAGUAUGGCGUCAAGUGUUUUCAUUUGGUGCUGAAUGAAGCUGAAAUGCCAAACCGUUCUGCUGAUAUGCUUUGCCCGUGUCUCGGUUAUUGUGUAUGUGUCUCUGUCGGUCUGUGUCUGCCCCCUCAGAGUGGUCAGUUCCGUCUUCCUCCAUUUUCUACCGUGCUCAGAAAAUGAAAGGGGAACAACACCACUUUAUUCAUGCGCUGACAACAACACAAUGUCUCGGCGCACGCCAGGUGCGAUGUCAACAAUGAAGUCGCGCAAAUCGUCUGUUUGAUCAAAUCUAUCGAUGUCUGAUGUCCUAUGCUACACCUUUCCCACAACAGUCUGCUAAUAUGUUUUCCCCUAACCUUUUGUAUUUCGAUCAUUUAACUCCAUUAGUUCUAAAAUUUAAUUGCAAAAUCACACUUGUAUUUGGUUUCCUUCUAUACGUACAGUGUUUUAUUAUUCCGAGAUUCUGAUCAUAUUUUAUAGACCUAAUAACUUUAAUUUAUAGCCUAAGCAUUUAGACCUAUACAUGCGUUAAAAGCCUAUACAUUCUCCCGAGUGGCGCAGCGGUCUAAGGCACUGCCUCUCAGUGCUUGAGGCGUCACUACAAACACCCUGGUUCGAUUCCAGGCUGUAUCAUAGCUGCCGUGAUUGGGAGUACCAUGCAGCGGCUCAGGGUUUCGCUGGUGUAGGCCGUCAUUGUAAAUAAGAAUUUGUUCUUAACUGACUUGCCUAGUUAAAUAAAGAUAAAAAAAAAAACAACAUUAUAAAUGCUAUUCAAUUAAAGUUGUAAAGAAUUCAAAACCACACAACCUGUAUGUUGCUUUGUUUUGCAUCAACCAUGGUGGUUAUACCUACUAAAUAAACAAUGAUUAGUCCUACCAUUUAACAUCUUGGUCACAAAGAUGUGUGAAAGUAAUAUAUGACAAAUCUAAUAUAUAUAUAUAUUUUUUAAUUACAUUUUUUUAAACCCACUUGUGUCAGACUAUUUUAAUUAUCUAUCACAGUAUAAGUUAAAACAAUAGCCUGUCAUAGGCAGGUUCCUUUAUUAGUCAACGCAAUUGGGUAAAAUGGAGAGAUGGUCAGAGAGAGAGAGAGAGGAAAGAAAAACAAGGCCAAGAUUAAAUUGUUAAAGUAGCCAAUGGAAACCUGGACUGGUUCCUAAUUUGGGAGGUGUCAAGCAUGGCAGCUAGUACGGAACCCUCAUUAACAGUGACGUCUUCACCUGGGUGAAUAUCUGCCAAGGUGUAAGCUAAUAAGGAAAGGCUGAGCCUAAUUUGAUAAGCCUGCUGAAGUCUUCAAUUAUGCAGCUAUACAGUAUGUGUAUUUAUUUAAUGACUGUUAAUGAAUUACUAACAAUUAACAUAAUAUUCAUUAUAUUUGUUAUAUGUUUCUUAAAACUGCAUUAUUGGUUAAGGACUUGUAAGUAAGCAUUUCACUGUAAGGUCUACUACCCCUGUUGUGUUCGGCGCAUGUGACAAAUAACAUUUGAUUUGAUUGUUCUAUUUAAUUAUGUGGCUAAAACGACAGUAACCCUAUAAUUCUUUAAACGUCUUUUGUGACAUUGUCAGGUGUAUUUUAGGGGCCUGGUUGUAAUCUGGUAAUGGGAUGUAAUUUCAACCAGAAAACCACCAGAAUAUGACGUAUUUCAUGAAUGCCCCGAUGUCAUCAUGACCCAAAAUAAAUACAUCUGUUGAUGUGAGGAAACAUCACAAUAAAGACAUGAAACGUUUUUUUUACCUGGUUGGGGGUUCGGGUACUGAUCUGUUGACGUGAGGACAUCGUUUGCGAAUCCAUGUUUAAGACUAAGAAUCAACAAUUCUGCCGUAUGUGUACCAACUGUGCCAAGACAAUUACAUUCUAUUCAUAUUAUCAACUUGUUUUCAAAACAUCUAGUGACUCAGCUUAACCAAUCGCCACUAGUACUUUAUUCAAUGCUAAUCGCCUCAACAGCAGAUGCUUGGAUCUGUUUGUGUUUGGAAGCUUCUAGAUGUUAUGAGGUGAAUUGCCAGACCUGUAUAUACAGUAUCUGACCUAGCUCCAGCUCCAGCCAAGCAAUAUAGGGAGAGUCUAGGCGGCCCUCUUCUCUGGCUACUCUGCUCACUUCCCCCCAGGUGUGGCUGUGUUAUGUCACCACUGGGCUGGAGGACGGGGGUGUGUGUGUGUGUGUGUGUGUGUGUGUGUGUGUGUGUGUGUGUGUGUGUGUGUGUGUGUGUGUGUGUGUGUGUGUGUGUGUGUGUGUGUGUGUGUGUGUGUGUGUGUGUGUGUGUGUGUGUGUGUGUGUGUGUGUGUGUGUGUGUGUGUGUGUGUGUGUGUUGAAAGUAUGAGGGAGCAGGAGCAUCAAGUGUUAAAUAGACAGUGAGAUGUUUAUUGAGGGUGGUUGUUAAUCUGAACAUUUGCACCGAUAGGAGAGUUUGGAAGAGGUUAGAGGGAAAGAGAGAGGAGAGUUUGGAAGAGGUUAGAGGGAAAGAGAGAGGAGAGUUUGGAAGAGGUUAGAGGGAAAGAGAGAGGAGAGUUUGGAAGAGGUUAGAGGGAAAGCGAGAGGAGAGUUUGGAAGAGGUUAGAGGGAAAGAGAGAGGAGAGUUUGGAAGAGGUUAGAGUGAAAGAGAGAGGAGAGUUUGGAAGAGGUUAGAGGGAAAGAGAGAGGAGAGUUUGGAAGAGGUUAGAGGGAAAGCGAGAGGAGAGUUUGGAAGAGGUUAGAGGGAAAGAGAGAGGAGAGUUUGGAAGAGGUUAGAGGGAAAGAGAGAGGAGAGUUUGGAAGAGGUUAGAGGGAAAGAGAGAGGAGAGUUUGGAAGAGGUUAGAGGGAAAGAGAGAGGAGAGUUUGGAAGAGGUUAGAGGGAAAGAGAGAGGAGAGUUUGGAAGAGGUUAGAGGGAAAGAGAGAGGAGAGUUUGGAAGAGGUUAGAGGGAAAGCGAGAGGAGAGUUUGGAAGAGGUUAGAGGGAAAGAGAGAGGAGAGUUUGGAAGAGGUUAGAGUGAAAGAGAGAGGAGAGUUUGGAAGAGGUUAGAGGGAAAGAGAGAGGAGAGUUUGGAAGAGGUUAGAGGGAAAGCGAGAGGAGAGUUUGGAAGAGGUUAGAGGGAAAGAGAGAGGAGAGUUUGGAAGAGGUUAGAGUGAAAGAGAGAGGAGAGUUUGGAAGAGGUUAGAGGGAAAGAGAGAGGAGAGUUUGGAAGAGGUUAGAGGGAAAGCGAGAGGAGAGUUUGGAAGAGGUUAGAGGGAAAGAGAGAGGAGAGUUUGGAAGAGGUUAGAGGGAAAGAGAGAGGAGAGUUUGGAAGAGGUUAGAGGGAAAGAGAGAGGAGAGUUUGGAAGAGGUUAGAGGGAAAGAGAGAGGAGAGUUUGGAAGAGGUUAGAGGGAAAGAGAGAGGAGAGUUUGGAAGAGGUUAGAGGGAAAGCGAGAGGAGAGUUUGGAAGAGGUUAGAGGGAAAGAGAGAGGAGAGUUUGGAAGAGGUUAGAGUGAAAGAGAGAGGAGAGUUUGGAAGAGGUUAGAGGGAAAGAGAGAGGAGAGUUUGGAAGAGGUUAGAGGGAAAGCGAGAGGAGAGUUUGGAAGAGGUUAGAGGGAAAGCGAGAGGAGAGUUUGGAAGAGGUUAGAGGGAAAGCGAGAGGAGAGUUUGGAAGAAGGAAAGCGAGAUGGCUUGAAUUUUGCUCUGACAUGCACUGUCAACAGUGGGACCUUAUAUAGACAGGUGUGUGCCUUUCCAAAUAAUGUCCAGUCAAUUGAGUUUACCACAGGUGGACUCCAAUCAAGUUGUAGAAACAUCUCAAGGAUGAUCAAUGGAAACAGGAUUCACCUGAGCUCAACUUUGAGUUUCAUAGCAAAGCACUUAUGUAACUAAUUUACACAGCACUUAUGUAAAUAAGGUAUUUCAGGUUUUUUUAUUUUAAUUAAUGUGCAAACAUUUCUAAAAACCUGUUUUCGCUUUGUCAUUAUGGGGUAUUGUAUGUAGGACAUAUAUUUUGAGUCCAUUUUAGAAUAAGGCUGUAAUGUAACAAAAUGUGGAAACAUGUAAGGGGUCUGAAUAGUUCCAGAAAGCACUGUAAGUGGGGGAAGGCUGAGGAGGAAGUGGGGUUGCAGGCUGACACUACACAGCUCUGCUCAGUGUGUGUGUGUCUGGGUGUGUGUGUGGGGGUGGAGUGCUUUGUCCUCAUGGCUUUAGUCCCAGGCUGUGGGCUGAACUGUGUGGUAGCAGGUUAGAAGGUUUUAGUCCCAGGCUGUGGGCUGAACUGUGUGGUAGCAGGUUAGAAGGUUUUAGUGCCAGGCUGUAGGCCGAACUGUGUGGUAGCAGGUUAGAAGGUUUUAGUCCCAGGCUGUGGGCUGAACUGUGUGGUAGCAGGUUAGAAGGUUUUAGUCCCAGGCUGUGGGUUGAACUGUGUGGUAGCAGGUUAGAAGGCUUUAGUCCCAGGCUGUGGGAUGAACUGUGUGGUAGCAGGUUAGAAGGUUUUAGUCCCAGGCUGUGGGCUGAACUGUGUGGUAGCAGGUUAGAAGGUUUUAGUGCCAGGCUGUAGGCUGAACUGUGUGGUAGCAGGUUAGAAGGUUUUAGUGCCAGGCUGUAGGCUGAACUGUGUGGUAGCAGGUUAGAAGGUUUUAGUCCCAGGCUGUGGGCUGAACUGUGUGGUAGCAGGUUAGAAGGUUUUAGUCCCAGGCUGUGGGCUGAACUGUGUGGUAGCAGGUUAGAAGGUUUUAGUCCCAGGCUGUGGGCUGAACUGUGUGGUAGCAGGUUAGAAGGUUUUAGUCCCAGGCUGUGGGCUGAACUGCGUGGUAGCAGGUUAGAAGGCUUUAGUCCCAGGCUGUGGGAUGAACUGUGUGGUAGCAGGUUAGAAGGCUUUAGCUGCUAAAGCACAGGGGACCUACUGUAAACUGCUCUCUCAUUUACACAGCACUUUGUGUGUCUGUAUGUGUGUUCCUCUCUCUGUGUUGCUUUGUUCUAAACUACCACUGCAUAAGUCAUUGAAAGAAACACAUUCUCUCUCUCUCUCUCUUUCCCUCUCUCUCUCUCUCUCUCGCUCUCUCUUUCUCUCCCUCCCUCCCCUCCAUCUCUCUCUCUCUCUUUCCCUCUCUCUCUCUCUCACCUUCUCUCCCUCCCUCCUCUCUCUCUUUCUCUCCUUUCUCUUUCUCUCUCUCUCUCUCUCUCUCUCUCUCUCUCUCUCUCUCUCUCUCUGCCUCUCCCUCUCUCUUUUGCCUCUCUCUCUCUCUCUAACAGUUUUCCAGCCCUGAUCCCUUCAGGAGCACACUUGUUAAUGAGAACACCGGUUUGGCUAACACACUACAAAAUGAGUAAUUUACACUCGCUAGAAUGCCAUGUACACAUCUCAUUUUACACAUCAGGUCUCUGUGAGACACUGACAACUCUCUCUUUAUGUUAAUAUUUGCAUUCUUACGUUUGAUUAGUGUCAUGGCUGUUUGCUUCUUUCUAACCUUCCCUGUCUGAAUACACCAUGUUCCCAUCAGCUUUAGCUCAUUGUGCAGACAGCUGAAUGCAGGGGCUCCUCCUUUCCCGGGGCUGUGUGUUUAGAUGGGGGUGGGGUAGGUUUGUGUGAUAAUGGGUGAGGGG